rnacentral:rRNA from 1 species
GACGAACGCUGGCGGCGUGCUUAACACAUGCAAGUCGAACGGAAAGGCCCUGCUUUUGUGGGGUGCUCGAGUGGCGAACGGGUGAGUAACACGUGAGUAACCUGCCCUUGACUUUGGGAUAACUUCAGGAAACUGGGGCUAAUACCGGAUAGGAGCUCCUGCUGCAUGGUGGGGGUUGGAAAGUUUCGGCGGUUGGGGAUGGACUCGCGGCUUAUCAGCUUGUUGGUGGGGUAGUGGCUUACCAAGGCUUUGACGGGUAGCCGGCCUGGGAGGGUGACCGGCCACAUUGGGACUGGGAUACGGCCCAGACUCCUACGGGAGGCAGCAGUGGGGCAUAUUGCACAAUGGGCGGAAGCCUGAUGCAGCAACGCCGCGUGCGGGAUGACGGCCUUCGGGUUGUAAACCGCUUUCGCCUGUGACGAAGCGUGAGUGACGGUAAUGGGUAAAGAAGCACCGGCUAACUACGUG